UGGACCUGCGGAAGGAUCAUUA
rnacentral:rRNA from 2 species